GGAUUAGAUACCCUGGUAGUCCACACCGUAAACGCUGUCUACUAGCUGUUUGUGGAUGUAUAUCUGUGAGUAGCGAAGCUAACGCGCUAAGUAGACCGCCUGGGGAGUACGGCCGCAAGGUUAAAACUCAAAUGAAUUGACGGGGGCCCGCACAAGCGGUGGAGCAUGUGGUUUAAUUCGAUGCAACGCGAAGAACCUUACCUACACUUGACAUGCAGAGGAGAUUCCAGAGAUGGAAUUGUGCCUUCGGGAACUCUGACACAGGUGCUGCAUGGCUGUCGUCAGCUCGUGCCG
rnacentral:rRNA from 1 species